CGGCAUAGACCUGCUGCGGAGAGAUCAUAUGGAUGUGUCCGUCGUUCCCGCCCGCGGUCAGAAUCAAGUGCUCGGCGGUGAUGGCAUCGGUGGCGGGGCCGACCGUGAGUCCGGGCGUCACGCCGUCCAUGGUGCCGGGGUUGCCGGCCUUGCCCACGCCGACGAUCUUGCCGUCCUUGAUGCCGACAUCGGCCUUGACGAUCCCCAGCAACGCAUCCACCACCGUCACGUUGGUGAUCACCAGGUCGAGCGCGCCCCCUUCGCUCGUGAGCUGGUUGUCCAUUCCCAUCCCGUCG
rnacentral:sRNA from 1 species